rnacentral:misc_RNA from 1 species
GUGAAAUAUUUUCAAAAUACUAAGUUUUUUGCCCUACAUUAUGAAACUAAAUUCCCUACUAUCUAAAUUAGGCAAAAAUUUUUGCGAUUGAAAUUUUUGAAAGAAUUUGUAUUAGUACCAAAAAGAAGAAAAUUCCUUUUGACUUUUGUGAUUCAGAAAUGAAAUAGAAAAGGAAAAAGAAGAAGAUGAUGAUAAGUAGAUGAGAAGGGUAAUACAUAUAGACUCAAGCUUUUUUUUUUUUUUUA